rnacentral:rRNA from 1 species
UGGGGAAUAUUGGACAAUGGGCGCAAGCCUGAUCCAGCAAUGCCGCGUGGAUGAAGAAGGUCUUCGGAUUGUAAAGUCCUUUCGGCGGGGACGAUGAUGACGGUACCCGCAGAAGAAGCCCCGGCUAACUUCGUGCCAGCAGCCGCGGUAAUACGAAGGGGGCUAGCGUUACUCGGAAUGACUGGGCGUAAAGGGCGCGUAGGCGGUUUGGACAGUUAGGCGUGAAAUUCCUGGGCUCAACCCGGGGGCUGCGCUUAAUACAUCCAGACUUGAGUGUGGAAGAGGGUCGUGGAAUUCCCAGUGUAGAGGUGAAAUUCGUAGAUAUUGGGAAGAACACCGGUGGCGAAGGCGGCGACCUGGUCCAUUACUGACGCUGAGGCGCGAAAGCGUGGGGAGCAAACA